CAAAUAACCUGGCUAACAAUAGAGUUUUGCUUCACAAGGGGUUGGUUGGCUGGAGGAACGCAGAAGGCAAGUCAGAGAAGAUUCUUGCUGUUGUUUUGAACAACCAGAAGUAUUCAUUCUUUUUUGAUAAUAAGUAAAAGUAAAGGGCAGUGAUAUUCUGGACUUUUCCUCAGCGAGAGAGCCUGAACAAAGUGUAUGAUUCAAGUGAUCCUGACCUCACACAAGACUUGGGAAAUGCAACAAGGAGAGGCCACAUGCAAACACAAGGAGUUUCUAGAAUCUGAAGAAGUUCCUGAAUCAAUUCGAGUUGACCUGAAACAUCAGAGUACUGCUCAGAUAAUAUAUGCUGGAUGCAGAGAGGAAGACAGGUAAAUGAGAACAUAGCUGUAAUUCCUCUGAUGAUGUUUGAUGUGCAGCAGCGUGGUCUCAAGAUUGUCAACAAGAUCAGACCCGUCACCAGCUGUAUGGAGGUAUACAAAGAGAGAAAAUAUAUCAAUGUAUGGACAGCUCAAGAGAAACAGAUAUUUAAGGAGAAAUACCCGCAACAUCAGAAAAUUUUCAAUCUUACUGCUUCAUUUCUUUAGAAAAAGAUUAUGCAGAGUACUGUUCAAGAUCAAAGAAGAAAACUACAGAAAAUAUGUUGAAAAUGUUGAAAAUAAAAAGGGAUGGUGAGAAAGAAGAGGCAGCAGCAGAAAG
rnacentral:misc_RNA from 1 species